rnacentral:misc_RNA from 1 species
UUGAUAUUGUAGGAAGUAGGAACUCAACUGUUUCUCAUCCAAAAUCCUAGGGAGCUUCGGGUGGUUAUACAAAAAUAUCAGGUCAGGUUAAAUAGCAUACAAGGAAAUGACAAUCCACUAUAUUUUUUCCCCAGUCUUGAGAAAGUAUUCAUAAAAGAAAUUAAAUAUUACCAACAAGGAACUGCAUGGGUAGAUUAAUGCCAACUAGCUGGCAAGCUUACAACCUAAA